GAUGAACGCUGGCGGCGUGCCUAAUACAUGCAAGUCGAGCGAACAGACGAGGAGCUUGCUCCUCUGACGUUAGCGGCGGACGGGUGAGUAACACGUGGAUAACCUACCUAUAAGACUGGGAUAACUUCGGGAAACCGGAGCUAAUACCGGAUAAUAUAUUGAACCGCAUGGUUCAAUAGUGAAAGACGGUUUUGCUGUCACUUAUAGAUGGAUCCGCGCCGCAUUAGCUAGUUGGUAAGGUAACGGCUUACCAAGGCAACGAUGCGUAGCCGACCUGAGAGGGUGAUCGGCCACACUGGAACUGGAACACGGUCCAGACUCCUAAGGGAGGCAGCAGUAGGGAAUCUUCCGCAAUGGGCGGAAGCCUGACGGAGCAACGCCGCGUGAGUGAUGGAGGUCUUCGGAUCGUAAAACUCUGUUAUUAGGGAAAAAAAAAUGUGUAAGUAACUAUGCACGUCUUGACGGUACCUAAUCAGAAAGCCACGGCUAACUACGUG
rnacentral:rRNA from 1 species